rnacentral:misc_RNA from 1 species
GUGAUUAAAUCGAGCGUGUCUUCAUUGACCGCUCACCCUUCUCACCAUCCACAUACACCAGUGCACUGUUUAGCCUGAGCCGGUUUUCCGGUCCAGGUUAUCAUUUCAUACAAACUCUAGUCUUAUGAAUGUAAACGUUUUAAUAACAUAAUA